UAAAUUAGUUCUACACCAAGCCUUUAGGUGGCAGUAAAACUAAUUCGCACAAUGCGAAUUCCACACACAAGCCACAAAGAAGCCAUCAACCGCGGUCAACAACACCUUCCUGAUUGAACAGAACCACGCGCUGUCUGUGUGGUUUCACUGUUACAAGUUUCUUGGCGAUAUGGGGGGAAAGUUCCUCACAUACCAACGGAAAAUGGGCUUCACAUACAUGUAAGUACAUUUUACUCAACUGUGGUUUAAAGUUUCAGUACUCAAGAGCGAUUGAAUAGCUCCUCUGAACACAGAUCCGCCAUUGCUAAGUUGUAGCACAGCCGGUUUACAUAGCUGGUAGCUCAAGUCCCCUCAAUAAAUGUGACCACUCUAGUUGCUGCUGUACGCUAGUAAAUUCUGAUGACUUGCGAGCAUCGUAAUGACAAAAUGCUGUGGUGAAACAGUGAAUAUGUUAAGUAUACUUGUUGAUGGUAAAUUGUUUGACAUUGCUCGUUCUCAGUUGCCUUUCCCCUGCCUAAAGAUAGACAAAGGCUACCGUUAGCAUGCUAUUGCGUUAGCUCAUCAACUAGAUGCUGGGCACUGCUCAUUUUUCACGUCUGCCCGGCAUUUCGCUGAUGAACUAACGCUUAGACGUCUUGCCAAUGUAUUUUACAGCGGCAAAAAUGCAUCUAGGCGACGUUGGCAAGACUGGUGUGCCGUCUGGGUAUGUUGGUUUUCAGUGCUGGGCAGUAGCGAAGCGACUAGUUUAAUUACAUUCCCUAGUAGCUUGGUCGUAGCGUCACUACUAUGUAUCGAGUACGUCCCUGUAGUUAAGCUAUUUUUCCUCAAGUAGCGACGUAGUCUACAAAAGCUACAAUUUGUCCCGCAUCGAUGUUACUCAAUGAUUUUUGUUUUACUUUCUCUAUCCUGAAACCUAGGCAGUCACACAGGGGUUCCAAGACCCACCUGCGUGAAAUCAAGUCAAAGGCUGCUGUCUCAUAUGGCGAAGACGAGUCACUUGAAGGCCUAACUGCUCUUAUGAGGAGCAGUCUCGCCAUAGAAGACUGAAAGAAUGAGCUGUAGAAACAACAGUGUCCUGCAGGAUGCUGUGUCCUGCAAUCCUGUGUGCUGUGCUACAGACGCGUGUGGAGGUCAACCCGAAAUGGGCACAGUCUCACCACAGAAGAGUGAAAGAGGAUCCUGGCAGGGAGACGGUAGUGUCCUGCAGGAUGGUGAUGGGCCAAUCUUACAAGAGACCACAGAAAACUGAUAUAGUGUAAGAUUAUCCCUGUUGGGCUCAAUAUGUCUUGCUUAUUGAUAUAUUUGCUAUGUCAAUAUGAGGUGCAUGGCGAAGUAUUUAUUUAUUUGUCUCGCUUCUAGGAACUAUAGAAACAACAGAGUGCCUGCUGCAGUAUGACGAGGACGCCCUCAUCAGAGAGCUCCAAUAGACCCAGGUCCAGUGUCUUGGCAGGGUGAAAUGGCACUGAUAUGGUGUCCUGCAGGAUGCUGUGUCCUGCAAUCCUGUGUGCUGUGCUACAGACGCGUCUGGAAGCCAACCCGAAAUAAGCACAGUCUCUCCACAGAGGAGUGAAAGAGGGUAAGCUUAACCUAUAGCCUACGUCAGUGGUGGGGAACCUUUCUCAUUCGAAGGGCCAAUUCAAAUUCAUCCGAGGGGCCGUAAAAGUCCUCCAAGGGCCGUACUAUGAACACAAACCAGGAUUUUCCCCUUCACUUUAGACCUAUAUUGAAGGCAGCCACAUUUAAACAAACACCACCUUCUUCAGGUUCCCUGAAUAUAACUUAAUUGUAUUGCAAAUGUAUUUUCUAAGAUUCCUUUACAAAAUAUGUCAUAUUUCAUGUGAAGCUGAAUAACAUUAAAAUUAUAUCGGGGGCCAGAUAAAACGGCCUCAAGGGUCGCAAACGGCCCUCAAGACAUAGGUUCCCCACCCCUGGCCUACAUUGGCAAUAUGACUUGUGCUACUUUAUAGUUAAGCUGUCAAUGCUGUGCAUUGCUAUGUUUUGAUUUAUUUUCUUACAUCCUACAGAUCCUGGCAGGGAGACAUAGUGCAUGAGACCAUAGAAGACUGAAAUAGUGUAAGAUUAUCCCUGUUGGGCUCAAUAUGACUUGCUUAUUGAUAUAUUUGCUAUGUCAAUAUGAGGUGCAUGGCGAAGUAUUUAUUUAUUUGUUGUUUCUACAGCUCCCAGAAGUGAGACUGAGUGCCUGUUGCAGUAUGACGAGGACACAGUGACCAGAGACCUUCAGUAGACCCUGCUGGCAUGAUUGGCGGCUGAAGAACAUGAAAUCAACAGCAAUGUUUAUAAUAUUGUACAUACCUGUAUAGUCUGUACUAAAAUGCAGUACCUGUACUAUUUUUCCUCUUACUUUCAUAUUUACCACGUAUUUACUAUGAAUUGACAGCUUUUACUCAAAUCCAUUUUUGUAUGUGCCCUGACUAAAACUAUCCUUAAACCUAACCUGUCAGAGGUGUAACAACAACCUGCUCUUAGCAAUGUGGCAGCAGUCUACUUGGAUGCAGCGGGGAACAUAGAACCCUUUUUUGAAAAAGCAUUGUAUGUUUCUGAGUUUUAUGAAUUGUGCCCUUCCCAAAACCAUCCUCAAACCUAACCUGUCGGUAAUGAAAUGUUUCUGAGUUGUACAUUGGUGACCUGAGUGCUGUAUACAUCACUGCAUAUAGAGUAUAUUGUUUGCAGGGUAUGUGUGUAGUUUUAAAUUAUUUAUUUUUAUGAAAUGCAUGGUUCCUGUCAAAGUGUGUGUACAUUGUUUGGUGUGAUAUUAAAAGCGUUAAAACAAUUCAUUUUCAUUUCAUUCAUUUUAUCAAUAAAUUCACAUCAUGCAUGCUAAAGCCCCAUCACAGUGCAGCCUAUAAUGAUGUGAAUAUAAUGAUGUGAAUAUACAAAGUAAAAUCAACCUAGGUAUAUUAGUAAUAAUAUUUUUUGCAUAAUUAUACGGACCUACUGUAUACGGUAUGCAUAAAUUAAUCCAACGUGACCAAUAGAAGGUCGUAGCUGCCGACCCUGCUAACCAAUAGCGCAGCUCUUUUACUUUGAGUCACGUGUCUUUU